GAUGAACGCUGGCGGCGUGCCUAAUACAUGCAAGUCGAGCGAACGGACGAGAAGCUUGCUUCUCUGAUGUUAGCGGCGGACGGGUGAGUAACACGUGGAUAACCUACCUAUAAGACUGGGAUAACUUCGGGAAACCGGAGCUAAUACCGGAUAAUAUUUUGAACCGCAUGGUUCAAAAGUGAAAGACGGUCUUGCUGUCACUUAUAGAUGGAUCCGCGCUGCAUUAGCUAGUUGGUAAGGUAACGGCUUACCAAGGCAACGAUGCAUAGCCGACCUGAGAGGGUGAUCGGCCACACUGGAACUGGGACACGGUCCAGACUCCGAAGGGAGGCAGCAGUAGGGAAUCUUCCGCCAUGGGCGAAAGCCUGACGGAGCAACGCCGCGUGAGUGAAGAAGGUCUUCGGAUCGUAAAACUCUUUUAUUAGGGAAGAACAUAUGUGUAAGGAACUGUGCACAUCUUGACGGUACCUAAUCAGAAAGCCACGGCUAACUACGGG
rnacentral:rRNA from 1 species